CAAAAAAAAUUGUAUGUAUAUGUAUAUAAAUUUCCCUCGUAUUCGUACGUGUAAUAAAUGCCCGGGGAGUUAUAAAUUGCAUGCGCUGAUAGCCACUUACGAGAGCGCUGCAUGCAGCUUUUAUGCUGCCCCAAACAUGUGUGGCAAGUGACUUUGACGGGCAUCGAUGACGGGCAAAUGAAAGGGCAUCUGCUUGAGUAUUGGUGAGCUUUUGAAAGCUUUGUGUUUGCUUUAAUUACCCCAAAAAAGCUUAUAACGUCUGUGUGAGCUAUGCGUGUGUGAAAGCUGUGCCAAAGUCGGAUAAGAGGCUCCAGUAAAGUAAAGGGUAUCGCAAGAACAUCUCAUUUUCAGCGCCUGUCCCCUGUGCUUAAGAUUUAUAAUGCAUGCAGGCACAAAGCGAGCAAUGGCAUCCGCAUCCACAUCCACAUCCACAACCCGAACUGCAUCCUUAUCAGUGAGUCUUUCCUUUGCGCUGGAGCCGCAUUUCCGCCGUUAAUUGAAUACAGAGGAGUCCACGUGAGAGGAGCAGACGAAGUUAAGCAAGGAGCAGGCACAUAUGUGAGUGUGUAUAUAACGAUUAAUCAAACGGAGAAUCUGUAGGUCAAAAAUAUUGCGCAUACGCCGCGUUGCCCGGCCCGACUAUAUAACAAUUAAGUAUCAUUUAGUUAGAAUCAGGAAAGCGAAACAAAGCACAAGUACAAACAAUAAAAUGCUACAACAAAAUGCAUUAUCAAAACAAUAAACAAUUGAUGGCAUUUCACUUAGGCCAGCAGCAAGUGGAGACCAAAGCAGAAACCGAAACAGAAACAGGCCGCAAGCAUAAAGCAGAAAUCAAUAAAAAUAAAACACAAAACGCACACACAAAAGCACAAGAGCUGAAGAAGAAGAAGAAGAAACAAGAGGCGGCAAAUAAAUAAAAAUUGCUUUAUUUAUUAAGCAUUAAACAAUAAAUGGG